rnacentral:tRNA from 2 species
GUUUGAGUAGCUCAGUUUGGAUAGAGCAACGGCCUUCUAAGCCGUCGGUCGGGGGUUCGAAUCCCUUCUCAAACGCCA